GGACAGAUGGCCGAGUUGGUCUAAGGCGCCAGGUUAAGGCCCUGGUCUCUUCGGAGGCGUGGGUUCGAAUCCCACUCUGUUCA
rnacentral:tRNA from 1 species